rnacentral:rRNA from 1 species
AAUAGAUACCCCGGUAGUCCACGCCGUAAACGAUGAGUGCUAAGUGUUAGGGGGUUUCCGCCCCUUAGUGCUGCAGCUAACGCAUUAAGCACUCCGCCUGGGGAGUACGGCCGCAAGGCUGAAACUCAAAGGAAUUGACGGGGGGCCCGCACAAGCGGUGGAGCAUGUGGUUUAAUUCGAAGCAACGCGAAGAACCUUACCAGGUCUUGACAUCCUCUGACAACUCUAGAGAUAGAGCGUUCCCCUUCGGGGGACAGAGUGACAGGUGGUGCAUGGUUGUCGUCAGCUCGUGUCGUGAGAUGUUGGGUUAAGUCCCGCAACGAGCGCAACCCUUGAUCUUAGUUGCCAGCAUUCAGUUGGGCACUCUAAGGUGACUGCCGGUGACAAACCGGAGGAAGGUGGGGAUGACGUCAAAUCAUCAUGCCCCUUAUGACCUGGGCUACACACGUGCUACAAUGGACGGUACAAAGAGUCGCAAGACCGCGAGGUGGAGCUAAUCUCAUAAAACCGUUCUCAGUUCGGAUUGC